AGAGCGAACGCUGGCGGCAGGCUUAACACAUGCAAGUCGAACGAUCCUUCGGGAUAGUGGCGGACGGGUGAGUAACACGUGGGAACGUGCCCUUAGGUUCGGAACAACACAGGGAAACUUGUGCUAAUACCGGAUAAGCCCUUACGGGGAAAGAUUUAUCGCCUUUGGAGCGGCCCGCGUCUGAUUAGCUUGUUGGUGAGGUAAAGGCUCACCAAGGCUACGAUCAGUAGCUGGUCUGAGAGGAUGGCCAGCCACAUUGGGACUGAGACACGGCCCAAACUCCUACGGGAGGCAGCAGUGGGGAAUCUUGCGCAAUGGGGGAAACCCUGACGCAGCUAUGCCGCGUGGAUGAUGAAGGUCUUAGGAUUGUAAAAUCCUUUCAGCGGGACGAUAAUGACGGUACCCGCAGAAGAACGCCCGGCUAACUCGCGCCAGCAGCCGC
rnacentral:rRNA from 1 species